rnacentral:rRNA from 1 species
UACAGAGGGCUCAAGCGUUGUUCGGAUUCAUUGGGCGUAAAGGGCGCGUAGGCGGCUUUGCAAGUGACGGGUGAAAUCCCUCGGCUUAACCGAGGAACUGCCUGUCAAACUGCAUGGCUUGAGACCGGGAGAGGUGAGUGGAAUUCCCAGUGUAGCGGUGAAAUGCGUAGAUAUUGGGAGGAACACCAGUGGCGAAGGCGGCUCACUGGACCGGUACUGACGCUGAUGCGCGAAAGCGUGGGGAGCAAACAGG